UUUUACUUGAAGGCAGGGGUGUACUAACACCUGCGGACUCAUUUUUGUAACCGAAGAGGUAAAAGUACUGAGCAAUCAUUACAAAACUGGGUAGCAAAGCACGCACGCCAUGCUUGCAAAGACUAAAUUUUUUAAAAUUAAACCUUCCAAGGCACUAGGAACUAGGGAGUACGCGCCAGGGCAUAAUAUGUUAUUUAACUGGCUCUCCACAGGACCGAGGCGAAGAGAUUCAUUCCUCAGAGGAACCGAGGCGACCAUCCUGCGAUGGUGACCGGCGCGAGGGCGAGGCGGGCAGCCGGGCCGCAGGCAGCGGGCGGUCCGGACGCUGGCCCCGAGCCCGAGGAGUUAAACUAACAAAGAGCUCAGCGCCCCCCGGAGCGGAAGCUACGCCUCCCCGGGCCCCCGCCCCGCGACCCUCCCCAAGUUCAGGGCCCGGCGGCCGACUCGCUGCGGGGCCUGCAGCCGGGCCGGGCCGGGCCGGCAAUCGGGUUGCGGGAAACAGGUAGAGAGGCAAGACUAGAAGCCCCAAAGGGAAGAGAGGGCACUUCCCGACCGGGUCAGCGCAGCGGAAAAGGAAGCAGACAUGAGGCCUGGAGAUACAACAGCUCGUUGGUGACAUGAAUGACAAGCAUGCGGAGAAAAGCCCAUAAGCUAAGAAAGGCGGAACAGAAAGACUGAAAGAGCCUUGGUCCGUGUGCCUGUUUCUUCACAGCUGUACCAGUGCUGGACUGCUCAGCUCUGGACUUCUCAUUAUCUACCUUUAUUUCCUGGGCCUCGACUCUACCAGGCGUGCCGAGGAGCGCCUGCGCGUCCCUCCCCGAGCCUCCGCUCCCUGAGGUAGGUCUGAAGGAACCCCGGCCGCCCCCGCGGGAGCCCCCA